AUUGAACGCUGGCGGCAGGCCUAACACAUGCAAGUCGAGCGGAUGAAGGGAGCUUGCUCCUGGAUUCAGCGGCGGACGGGUGAGUAAUGCCUAGGAAUCUGCCUGGUAGUGGGGGAUAACGUCCGGAAACGGGCGCUAAUACCGCAUACGUCCUGAGGGAGAAAGUGGGGGAUCUUCGGACCCCACGCUAUCAGAUGAGCCUAGGUCGGAUUAGCUAGUUGGUGGGGUAACGGCCUACCAAGGCGACGAUCCGUAACUGGUCUGAGAGGAUGAUCAGUCACACUGGAACUGAGACACGGUCCAGACUCCUACGGGAGGCAGCAGUGGGGAAUAUUCGACAAUGGGCGAAAGCCUGAUCCAGCCAUGCCGCAUGUGUGAAGAAGGUCUUCGGAUUGUAAAGCACUUUAAGUUGGGAGGAAGGGCAGUAAGUUAAUACCUUGCUGUUUUGACGUUACCAACAGAAUAAGCACCGGCUAACUUCGUG
rnacentral:rRNA from 1 species